rnacentral:rRNA from 1 species
ACACGGAGGGCGCAAGCGUUGCUCGGAAUCACUGGGCGUAAAGCGGGUGUAGGCGGUCUAGCAAGUCAGAUGUGAAAGCCCACGGCUCAACCGUGGAAGUGCAUCUGAAACUGCUAGACUUGAGUGCCGGAGAGGGAAGUGGAAUUCCUGGUGUAGGGGUGAAAUCCGUAGAUAUCAGGAGGAACACCGGUGGCGAAGGCGACUUCCUGGACGGCCACUGACGCUGAGACCCGAAAGCGUGGGGAGCAAACAGGAUUAGAUACCCUAGUAGUCC